GACGAACGCUGGCGGCGUGCUUAACACAUGCAAGUCGAACGGAAAGGCCCUGCUCUUGUGGCGUGCUCGAGUGGCGAACGGGUGAGUAACACGUGAGUAACCUGCCCUUGACUUUGGGAUAACUUUAGGAAACUGGGGCUAAUACCGGAUAGGAGCUCCUGCUGCAUGGUGGGGGUUGGAAAGUUUCGGCGGUUGGGGAUGGACUAGCGGCUUAUCAGCUUGUUGGUGGGGUAGUGGCUUACCAAGGCUUUGACGGGUAGCCGGCCUGAGAGGGUGACCGGCCACAUUGGGACUGAGAUACGGCCCAGACUCCUACGGGAGGCAGCAGUGGGGAAUAUUGCACAAUGGGCGGAAGCCUGAUGCAGCAACGCCGCGUGCGGGAUGACGGCCUUCGGGGUGUAAACCGCUUUCGCCUGUGACGAAGCGUGAGUGACGGUAAUGGGUAAAGAAGCACCGGCUAACUACGUG
rnacentral:rRNA from 1 species